AUUGAACGCUGGCGGCAUGCCUUACACAUGCAAGUCGAACGGCAGCACGGGAGCAAUCCUGGUGGCGAGUGGCGAACGGGUGAGUAAUAUAUCGGAACGUGCCCAGUCGUGGGGAUAACGUAGCGAAAGCUACGCUAAUACCGCAUACGAUCUAUGGAUGAAAGCGGGGGAUCGCAAGACCUCGCGCGAUUGGAGCGGCCGAUAUCAGAUUAGGUAGUUGGUGAGGUAAAGGCUCACCAAGCCGACGAUCUGUAGCUGGUCUGAGAGGACGACCAGCCACACUGGGACUGAGACACGGCCCAGACUCCUACGGGAGGCAGCAGUGGGGAAUUUUGGACAAUGGGCGCAAGCCUGAUCCAGCAAUGCCGCGUGCAGGAUGAAGGCCUUCGGUUGG
rnacentral:rRNA from 1 species